ensembl:lncRNA
AGUGCCACGUCUGCACAUUUCUUGAACACCUCCAAGGAUGGUGACUCCACCACAUCUCCAGGCAGCCUGUUUCAGUGCCUUACCGCCCUUUCUGAGAAGAAACUUUUUCUUAUAUCCAACUUGAACUUCCUCUGGUGUAAGUCGAGGGCAUUACAUCUCAUCCUAAGUGACAUUAAUUAAUAGCAACUUUCGAAUAAGAGGGAUCUUGUACAAAUCUCAUGGUUGUUGCAGCGAAAGGCACAUCGGUGGUCUUUCUGCUAAGCAGCUCCCUUUGCUGAAAGGACUUUUUCCAAAGCAAGUGGUCUGGAUAGCAAGAUUACUGUGUGACUUUUCCGUGUACUGCAUACCAUAUUCUCUGGCAAACACAUUAUCAGAAAGAGGGGUCCUGUAGGAGAUGAAGAGAAAGGAAGGCUGAGACAAAACCUACAUCAUCCGGCCACAUCUGCAUUGGACCCAAGGCUGGGUGAACCACAUCUGUAUGGCUUCAGGCUGAAAACCGAAGACAUUUAAAAGGUCUCAACCAAGUGAGCCCACUAAACUGAUUUUGAGUUCAGGUGGAAGAGAGCUCAGACCUGUUCCAGCGUACCAGCAGCUCGAGCAGGUUACAAAACGUUGGUGCCUUUAAGCGUGGAUUUUAAUGGCUUUUAACUUCCUCCUCAACCAGGCAAUGAUUGCCAUGAGUGGAAAGACAUCCCUGUGGAGAUUACUGAGAUGUGUUUGGAGCACGCCUUCAUGCCCAUGCAGUUUCGACAGAGCCUAUCACCAUGCAUGGGCUGAGGGAUGCAGUGAGGAGCUCUGGGCUACGACCAGCCGGGCUUUUCUUAGAUGAAACAAGCAUCCAACAUCAGGCAGGCAAACCCAGCUCCAUCCAAAAAAACCCAGCACUGCAUGGAACAAGGUGGUGGAUGUGCAGGCAGCAGGAUUACCAGCGUCAUCCUGCCAGCUGGGGCUGCAAGGAGCGUGUGCCAGGAAGGAGGCCAAGGUUUCACAUUCCCUUAUGUCUAAAAGGUCUGUGGGGCAUUUGGGUGAAGCACUGAAAACUGAAAAUAUAAAAAAAUGGUAUAAAGCUUGAAUAAGAUUUUCAGAUUCAAGGUCUACGUUUGCACGUGAGGUCAAUAAAUAGUGGUACUUUGUAGUGAGUGGUAUCCACUGUCACCUCUGGUUGAUGGUACUUCCAUGUGAGAAUUCCCACCAAUGGACAAGCGCAAGUGUACAUUGCACAACAGAUAGCAAUUGGAAGAAGUCAGUUUUUCAGGCUCGUGUCCAACAGAAUCAUCAGAUCUUUCUCUGGUACACAUAUUUUCAAGUUUUUGUAGUCAUCUCAUCUCUUCAUAUAAUCAAAUUAAUUUGAAUACUUUCUUAAAAUCCAACAGUCUUUACCAAGCACAAUGGUAUCUGGAGAAACCUCUCAUAGAAAGGCUGAAGAUGUCCUGACAGCAUUUCCUUGCCUUUGGGAGUUCGUGAAAGGUAUGCCAGAGUCCCGCUCCAGCUCAUUCUGCUUUCUGUUUACUUUCUGAUGGCCUGCAGAGUGUUUGAUAUGUGUCCACAAACUUCCUAAUUCACCACAGUAUGUCUGUUUGCCAAGAUUUACUUGACCCGAAUUCUUUUGAUAACAAUUGUUUGUGACAAUUUUAACACAGGUUGUACAGAAGGAGAUAGCUGGUUUAAUAGAUGCUGUGACCUGGACAUUCAUGCUUUACCAUUUUGUUACCAACAGUAAGCUCAUGGGAUUUUUUUCCCCCAAUUUAUUUAUUUUUAAUCUUAGCUAAUUAUUAUCCAACGAUAUAUUUUCUCACAGCUGGAAGAUUGAGCUGUUGUAUAUAUGUCCUAAAUUGCUAACUUACCUUUUGGUAUUCAGCAUAAUGUCUCUUCAGAAAGGCAUUUGAGUCUAAAGACAGUUGUGCUUCUCAUUGCUCUGCCACAUAACAGCGAGUCACUCAUUGCAUUCAGUCAUCAGCUCUUAACUGCAAUUGUUGCUGUGAAAGAGGCAGAAAAAAUAUGUUACCUGGUGCGACUGCUCACUACAAUUUUUCUAUUGGGUAUUCUAAAUACAUUCUGCUUAUAUUUCCUUUAUCCUUGGUCUGAUUCAUUAAAUAAGUCACUUUCAU